GGGCUAUUAGUGUAGCGGUUAUCACCCCUGCCUUCCAAGCAGGAAACAUCGGUUCGAUUCCGAUAUAGCUCU
rnacentral:tRNA from 4 species